CCCAUCUGUGCAGCCAUACCCCAUGACACUCCUUCCUCGCUCUCAUCUCACGCACGACCUACCUUCGCCAACCCUAGGUGUGCCGCCGCCACCAUGGUCUUCAUCUCGCAGCCCCUCAACCGCCCCGUCGGAGCGGCGCCUCCAUCUAUGCCUAGUCGCCGCUGUUCUCCUUAUCAUGUCUUCCCAAAAGGUGCAGCAGGGAGCAUCUUUUUCUCGAGCCGGCGACAAUCUCUAUCCCCAAAUUAGUGGCGCACUACAUCCCUAAAGUACAAGUCCGAUUUUGAAGCCAUAUCUAGAGUCCUCAGGCGCGCCGUCCCCAGAUCCAGCACGUCGAGCAACUAGCCGGAGAUCCUUUGUAGACGUCAACAGAAGGUGUCAAGGUGAUCAGUAUAUUAGAGACUUCAAGUGAUCUGAACCGGAAGUUGUCAAACUUUAGUACCUGAAUUUGGUUGAUCCGGAUGAGAAUACUAGAUGGUUGAUACAAACCGGAGCGACUGUUUGUCUAUUCAACGGACAAAACCGAUCCGAUGUGGUUUGAAGGAAGUAAUCAAUCUUCAGUUUCUGGUUGACUCAUGGUGGAUGAUGUAUGCCACUUGCUGGUGACGCUUAAGGCAGCAGGUGGCGUUCAUACUGGUUGUAAUCAAUUGUUUUGGGUAAAUCUUGGAGACUGAUUCUGGCAUUUUGAUUUUGGGAAUGUUUUAGUCUUGAAUCUCAGAUGGCCAUUGGACAGGUUAUUACUAGCGCAUUUGGGGAAUUCUUAAGUUUCCAACCCCCGGUGGAUAGCGGCUGCUAAUUUUGUUAUAAAAUUCUCUAUUUGUUGAUUUGAUUUGGUUUUCCAUCAUGCUCCAAGUUAGAUGGAUUUGUGCAGAUUCUCUAAAGUAGAGGAUUGGUCAAGGCAGAUGAUUACCAACGCUAGAGUGCCAGUUGUGAUGAUUUUUUAUAUCUUGGGAGUGGCUUCUCUUGUAGUGUACGCAUCCAUAUAGAAAAACGGGGAAGUUAGCAUAACAUUGUUGGAUCUAUGCAAUGAAAAUAUAUCCAUUAGUUAUUUUU